rnacentral:rRNA from 1 species
GUUUGAUCAUGGCUCAGAUUGAACGCUGGCGGUAGGCUUAACACAUGCAAGUCGAGCGGAAACGAUCUAGCUUGCUAGAGGCGUCGAGCGGCGGACGGGUGAGUAACGCGUAGGAAUCUACCCAGUAGUUGGGGAUAGCCCGGAGAAAUCCGGAUUAAUACCGAAUAAUCUCUACGGAGGAAAGUGGGCUUCGGCUCACGCUACAGGAUGAGCCUGCGUUGGAUUAGCUAGUUGGUGAGGUAAGAGCUCACCAAGGCGACGAUCCAUAGCUGGUCUGAGAGGAUGAUCAGCCACACUGGGACUGAGACACGGCCCAGACUCCUACGGGAGGCAGCAGCGGGG